rnacentral:rRNA from 1 species
AUGGAUACCGGUGCAACAAAUCAUAUCACGGGUGAAUUGGAGAAGCUAACAAUGCAUGAGAAGUAUCGUGGCAGUGAUCAAGUCUACACUGCAGCAAACGGUGCACGUAUGGAGAUAAGUCAUAUUGGUCAAUCAUAUAUCAAAACCCCAUACAAAAACCUUGAAAUAAAAGAUAUCUUGCAUGUGCCUAAUGCUUCCAAAACUCUCUUAUCUGUUCAUCGCAUUGCCCUUGAUAACAAUGUCUUUUUAGAAUUUCACCCAUUCUUCUUUUUGAUCAAGGAUCAGGUCAUGAAGGAAAUUCUCCAUAGGGGUGUCUGUGUGGAAGGACUCUAUUCAUUUCUUCCUAAGUAUUGCUCAUACAAUAAAAGAGUUUAUGGUGCCAUCAAGCUUUCCGCUGAAAGGUGGCACAGUCGCUUAGGUCAUCCAUCGUUUGCUACUGUUCAUCAAAUCCUUAGUAGAAAUAAACUCCCAGUUGUUGGUGAGAGAAAUUUAGAGACUGUUUGUUAUUCAUGCUAG